UGGGGAAUAUUGGACAAUGGGCGAAAGCCUGAUCCAGCCAUGCCGCGUGAGUGAUGAAGGCCUUAGGGUUGUAAAACUCUUUCGCCGGGGAAGAUAAUGACGGUACCCGGAGAAGAAGCUCCGGCUAACUUCGUGCCAGCAGCCGCGGUAAUACGAAGGGAGCUAGCGUUGUUCGGAAUUACUGGGCGUAAAGCGCACGUAGGCGGGCUAUUAAGUCAGGGGUGAAAUCCCGAGGCUCAACCUCGGAACUGCCUUUGAUACUGAUAGUCUUGAGAUCGGGAGAGGUGAGUGGAAUUCCUAGUGUAGAGGUGAAAUGCUUAGAUAUCGUCAAGAACACCGAUAGCGAAGGCAGCUUACUAGGCCAUAACUGACGCUGAGGCACGAAGGUGCGGGGAUCAAACAGGAUUAGAUACCCGGGUAGUCCCUGAGCGGGCUGGCAAGGCGCAU
rnacentral:rRNA from 1 species